rnacentral:rRNA from 1 species
GUGCCGCCAGGCGCAUCGCUGGGUAGCUACGUAUGGAUGUGAUAAACGCUGAAAGCAUCUAAGUGUGAAACACACCUCGAGAUGAGAUUUCCCAUUCCUUUAUGGAAGUAAGACCCCUGAAAGAUGAUCAGGUAGAUAGGUUAGAAGUGGCAGUGCGGUGACGCAUGAAGCGGACUAAUACUAAUCGGUCGAGGACUUAACCAA